rnacentral:pre_miRNA from 1 species
CAAGUACUCCCUCCGUUUGGAAUUACUCGUCACAAAAAUGAAUAAAAAUGGAUGUAUCUAUAACUAAAAUACAUCUAAAUACAUUCAUUUCUUGAACGAGUAAUUCCGAACGGAGGGAGUAGUUC